AAUAAAUCUUGGAUUUCCGUGUCCAAUAUUUAACCGUCCGUCUUAUUUAAAAAAAUUAUAAAAAAAAUUAAAAAAAUAAAUCACGCAUAAAGUAUUAAUCAUGUUUUAUCAUCUAACAAUAAUGAAAAUACUAAUUAUAAAAAAAAAUUAUAUAAGAUGGACAGACAAAUAUUGGACACGAAAAUUUAAGGUUUGUUUUUUU
rfam:Oryza sativa Japonica Group DNA, chromosome 3, cultivar: Nipponbare, complete sequence.